UACAGAGGUCCCGAGCGUUGUUCGGAUUCACUGGGCGUAAAGGGUGCGUAGGUGGUGAGGUAAGUCGGAUGUGAAAUCUCCGGGCUCAACCCGGAAAUGGCAUUGGAAACUACCUUGCUGGAGGAUUUGAGGGGGGAUUGGAAUACUUGGUGUAGCAGUGAAAUGCGUAGAUAUCAGGAGGAACACCGGUGGCGAAGGCGGUGGUCUGGGCCGGCACUGACGCUGAGGAGCGAAAGCGUGGGGAGCAAACAGG
rnacentral:rRNA from 1 species